rnacentral:tRNA from 1 species
CGAAAAGUAGCUUAACAAAAAGCAUUCAACUUACAAUUGAAAGAUGCCCCAUAAUAAGGCCUUUCCGC